UUAUUCUCCUGUAAAUGGUUCAGUACCUAUAAUUUAGGCUGUGUGUAGAAUGGGGCAUAAAGGAAAUUACCUCUACUAGAUUAUAGUGAUAAGGAAAUCAGAAUAGUGUUUUGGCCUGUGUAUUCAUUUGCCUAUAACUAAUCAGAACUCCAUUAUGUUUCCAUAAAAAAAAGAGAAUCAUUUCAAAAUGAGAAGAUCCUGCCAUGGAAAAGACGACUGGGUGGACAUAAAGUGGAAAGGAAGGGAAAUAACACACACCAUCAGCUACGGGGUCUUUAAUGCAGGUUUGAUUAGUUAUAUUUUCAAUAAUGAAUGGUUAGCGGUUACGUGACAAAACUCUUAUUUUAUUUUUUGGUGUAGAUGGCCAAGGAAGUUGCACAGGAUUUCCCAACAUCCCCUCCCAAAUUGGUAUAGAACCUUCACAAAAACACAUGGAGCAACUGCGAAAAGAAAUGGCUGAGGAUAUACUAAAAAUGUCUGAGUUCAACAAAGCCAACAACUGCUUCUUGUGUGCCACUGAAAGAAUCUGGAUGUGGCCCAAGGACUGACUGUAUUGAAUAUUUUGCAUGCCAACGGUGGUUCCAUGUGCUGUGCCUAGGAAUGGAGACAAAAGAGUUCAGAGUGAAGAACACAAACUGGAAGUGCUGUGAAAAUGUAUGCUAUACCCUAUCCACACUGAAGAGGCUCUGAAAUGUACAUCAACCAGGGAUAAAGAGAAAGUUAACACUGAAAUGUUUUGUACUUAUUUGAAGUAAUGUGUCUGUUGACAUGUUGGAAAAGA